GUCGAGUGUUUGACAGAAAAAUGUUUGCUGACCCCCAGAAAAAAAGAAAAUAACCAUGAAGAUAAACCUAAAGAGGGAAAAGUGUUGCCCCAGUCCCACCAGCUGUGCACGAUCCUGGCUCAGAUCAUGGCAUAUCCAUGCAUUUAUCAUCCAUUCAUGAUUAUCUGCCCAUCCAUUCAUCUCCUGAGUUGCUCAUUCAUGUCUUCACUGAGGAGUCAUUCCCAUCAUUGGUGAGUAGUAGUCAAGCAUCUACUGUGGUCAGGUACCAUUUGAGGUGAACAGAAGCAUCUCUCUCCAGGGUCUUCUGUGUCCUUUCUCUCUCUCUCUCUCUCUCUCUCUC
rnacentral:lncRNA from 1 species